GAAGCGACCUCAGCUCAGGCGGGGCUACCCGCUGAGUUUAAGCAUAUCAAUAAGCGGAGGAAAAGAAAC
rnacentral:rRNA from 1 species